rnacentral:rRNA from 1 species
UNGGAGAGGAAAGUGGAAUUCCUAGUGUAGCGGUGAAAUGCGUAGAUAUUAGGAAGAACACCAGUGGCGAAGGCGACUUUCUGGACGAAAACUGACGNUGAGGCGCGAAAGCCAGGGGAGCGAACGGGAUUAGAUACCCCGGUAGUCCUGNCCGUAAACGAUGGGUACUAGGUGUAGGAGGUAUCGACCCNUUCUGUGCCGGAGUUAACGCAAUAAGUACCCCGCCUGGGGAGUACGACCGCAAGGUUGAAACUCAAAGGAAUUGACGGGGGCCCGCACAAGCGGUGGAGUAUGUGGUUUAAUUCGACGCAACGCGAAGAACCUUACCAGGUCUUGACAUUGAUGGACAGAACUAGAGAUAGUUCCUCUUCUUCGGAAGCCAGAAAACAGGUGGUGCACGGUUGUCGUCAGCUCGUGUCGUGAGAUGUUGGGUUANNNNNNNNNACGAGCGCAACCCCUAUCUUAUGUUGCCAGCACGUAAUGGUGGGAACUCAUGAGAGACUGCCGCAGACAAUGCGGAGGAAGGCGGGGAUGACGUCAAAUCAUCAUGCCCCUUAUGACCUGGGCUACACACGUACUACAAUGGGAGUUAAUAGACGGAAGCGAGAUCGCGAGAUGGAGCAAACCCGAGAAACACUCUCUCAGUUCGGAUCGUAGGCUGCAACUCGCCUACGUGAAGUCGGAAUCGCUAGUAAUCGCAGGUCAGCAUACUGCGGUGAAUACGUUCCCGGGCCU